rnacentral:lncRNA from 1 species
AUGACCCGUGUGGACCAGAUCCCUGGGCCGGGUCCGCCCAGGCCCCCUCAGCACGGCGGGGCCAUCUCAACAAGGCUCUUGCUGGGGAAGAAGCAGGACAGAACCUGGGACUCCAGUCACACUCCGGGGCCCAGGCUUGCCACGAUCUUUACUUUGGGCGCCCAAGGACCAGGCCAGACCGGCUCAAAGAUCCGAGUGCCUCUCCUUUCAGCACCGGGGUCCCUUCCCCACCAACCCUGUCUGCUCUCGGCCGCUGCCCAGGGCACAGGCGUGGGAAGCGGCUAUGAGGCCGCGCGGCCACAAGAGGGAGCAAGGACACGGAGUCUGGCAGCGCGGGUGUCUCCCGCCUUCAUCUCCCCAGCACCCACGCAGGACGGGAUCGCGGCGCUGGGUGCGCUGUGGAGGUGGCGGCCAACAGGCCAGUCCCCAGCUAUGGAAAAGGAGCCCAGCCGUGCCCUGGCCGAGGCCGAGGACAGUGCCAACCCCAUCACUCGUUCACUCACUCUGGCUCUCCCUGAGGUGACCGUGGCGACUCCAUCUCGCAAGUCAGAUGUUAUUCAGACCCCUUCCCCGUGCCCCUGGCAGGAUUUGGCAUCCCCGCUGCAGAGAGAUCUCCUUCUGCCCACACGGCGGCACCCUGACUAUGGCCGUGUUCAGGGAGCCGGAUUCUUCUUGACUGAAGUGGCACCCUGAGCGGAAGCUAAGGGAGGGGUGUCUCGCCCACUGCAGUGGCUUGGUCCGCGUUACAGUGAACAGACGCCCAUUCGGCGUGGUUACUCGGUGCACCGUACCGGAAGACGGCCGCACACUCGUUCCUUCCUUCAUUCGUGAGCUUGGUAAACAAGCACCACGGACUGCUGCAUGCCAGGCACUGGUGACGGACUCUGGGGACAUAAGGAGAAGACAAAUGUCUACUUCCGUGUCCGGUGAGAGCCAAAGCCCGGGUGCUGGGAGGCGGCGCUCCAGGCAGGUCUGCCACCGCCCCAAAGCCAGAGGCCCUGACCACUCACCUCAACAGCACAAACCACCGGACCUGAGGUUGAUCGCUGAAACUCGUCCAGUGCCAGCGUCACCUGCUUUUGGUCUUUCGGUGUCCCACCACCACCGUCUCGUUCUGUAUCUCUAUCCCACCUACUGUGAUUUAACGACAGUUUUCCUUACACAGCCUCACUUACUAAGCUCUAAAAAACGUAAAGCAGAAACUUGACAUCACUGUUGUGUAUUUUAUGUCAUAAGCUACACUCGCCAUAAACCAAACAGUGCUGUGAAAUUCUAAGAAGAUAAAGUUGCUGCCCAAUUCUGACGCCCGCUGUCUGUACUUAGCAGGGGAAUUAGCAGGUGGUAGUGAGGUGAUGGGACCACGUGGGCACCACGUCGAUUCUUUUUGCUGUGAUUGAAAAGGUUCAGAAGAGAAUUGGAGAGAGAGAGGCUGUCCUUGGCGGGCCACUGAAUCUUAGACCCAGUGAGAGCCACCUAAGGCCACCUUCGGAGCCUGCUCGAGCCAGCAGCUUGACACACACUUGUGAGUCCUCCCCCUCCCUCCAGAGGUCACAGUCGGCUCCACAGAGAACAGGUUGAGGGCCCCUGGAUGACUUCCCUGUGCAGUCCUCCGUGUGGUCCUCUGUGUGAUCCUGUGCUUCAGUUAACAGCUGAAGCUGUUACGUGUCCUCUGUGAAGCCACCUGCCACUUCCAGAUCAACACUGUUUGGUCUCUUCCUGCAGCCUCCACGCGUGCACUCCACACAGUCACCUCAUCUCCCCUCCUAGGGGAGCCCCAAGGCCAGAGAUUCCCCAGCAUUCUUUGCUCAGCAGGGCCUCAGCCACUACAGUGACUCACAGCCGCCUCCUGGAUUCUGUUGUUGGUUGGCUUUUGACAUUUUUCCUUCUAAGCACAUUAUAAGAGGAAAAACAAGCAAGCUAGCAUUAUGCAGAGAAGUAAGAUCUGAGCCUCCAGUUCUUGUUCUCCUCCCCACCACACACACACACACACACACACACACACACACACACACCCUGUUACUAGUGCCUGAGUGCCUGCCAUCAGCACCUCAUUCCUCUGUGUUGAAGUAUUUAUUGCAGGUAAAACAAAAAGCAGUUUAAGAAAAGAAUUUUCUUAUCAUGCGUUCUGAUUAUAUGAAAUGUCCAAAAUAGGCAGACAUAUAGAGGCAGAAAGUAGAUUAGCGG